rnacentral:rRNA from 1 species
GACGAACGCUGGCGGCGUGCCUAAUACAUGCAAGUCGAACGCAGUGGGGACGGGUGAGUAACACGUGGGUAACCUCCCAUCAGAGGGGAUAACACUUGGAAACAGGUGCUAAACCGAUACUGAUGGAUGGACCCGCGUUGCAUUAGCUAGUUGGUGAGGUAACGGCUCACCAAGGCCACGAUGCAUAGCUGACCUGAGAGGGGUAUCGGCCGCACGGGGACUGAGACACGGCACAGACUCCGACGGGAGGCAGCAGGGGGGAAUCUUCGGCAAUGGACGAAAGUCUGACCGAGCAACGCCGCGGGAGUGAAGAAGGGUUUCGGAUCGUAAAUCUCUGUUGUUAGAGAAGCGGUAUCUAACCAGGAAGCCACGGCUAACUUCGUUCCAGCAGCCGCGGUAAUAC